UUCCACUAUACCACUGUCUGU
rnacentral:piRNA from 1 species